ACGACUGCUAAGACUGGAUAGGAAGAUAAAAGGCAUCUUGUAUCUUUUAAAAGACCUAGUUAAUAGGUAUGCUUUAGGAGGGGCUUGCGCCAUAUUAAUUAGUUGGUAGGGUAAUGGCCUACCAAGACGAUGAUGUGUAGCUGGACUGAGAGGUUGAACAGCCACAUUGGGACUGAGACACGGCCCAAACUCCUACGGGAGGCAGCAGUAGGGAAUUUUCGGCAAUGGAGGAAACUCUGACCGAGCAACGCCGCGUGAAUGACGAAGUACUUCGGUAUGUAAAGUUCUUUUAUCGAGGAAGAAAAGCAAAUGGCGAACCAUUUGUUUGCCGGUACUUGAUGAAUAAGCCCCGGCUAAUUAUGUGCCAGCAGCCGCGGUAAGACAUAAGGGGCAAGUGUUAUCCGGAAUUAUUGGGCGUAAAGGGUGCGUAGGCGGUCUAGUAAGUCAGUGGUGUAAUGUCAACGCUUAACGUUGUCCGGCUAUUGAAACUGCUAAACUUGAGUUAGAUAGAGGCGAGUGGAAUUCCAUGUGUAGCGGUAAAAUGCGUAAAUAUAUGGAGGAACACCAGAGGCGUAGGCGGCUCGCUGGGUCUUAACUGACGCUGAGGCACGAAAGCGUGGGGAGCAAACAGGAUUAGAUACCCUGGUAGUCCACGCCGUAAACGGUGAGUACUAAGUGUCGGGUUAAACCGGUACUGAAGUUAACACAUUAAGUACUCCGCCUGAGUAGUACGUACGCAAGUAUGAAACUUAAAGGAAUUGACGGGACUCCGCACAAGCGGUGGAUCAUGUUGUUUAAUUCGAAGAUACCCGAAAAACCUUACCAGGCCUUGACAUGUUUUUGCAAAGUGAUAGUAAUAUCGUGGAGGUUACCAGAAACACAGGUGGUGCAUGGUUGUCGUCAGCUCGUGUCGUGAGAUGUUAGGUUAAGUCCUAAAACGAGCGAAACCCUUAUCGUUAGUUGCCAGCACGUUAUGGUGGGGACUUUAACGAGACUGCCAAUGAUAAAUUGGAGGAAGGUGAGGAUCACGUCAAAUCAGCAUGCCCCUUAUGACCUGGGCUACAAACGUGAUACAAUGGCUGUUACAAAGGGUAGCUGAAACGCAAGUUCUUGGCCAAUCCCCAAAAACAGUCCCAGUCCGGAUUGAAGUCUGCAACUCGACUUCAUGAAGUUGGAAUCGCUAGUAAUCGCGAAUCAGCAUGUCGCGGUGAAUACGUUCACGGGGUUUGUACACACCGCCCAUCA
rnacentral:rRNA from 1 species